rnacentral:rRNA from 1 species
UGGUGGAGUGAUUUGUCUGGUUAAUUCCGAUAACGAACGAGACCUUGACCUGCUAACUAGUCACGAUAAGCUUUUGCUUGUUGGCUGACUUCUUAGAGGGACAAUCUGUUUCCAGCAGGUGGAAGUUUGAGGCAAUAACA